rnacentral:rRNA from 1 species
AUUGAACGCUGGCGGCAGGCCUAACACAUGCAAGUCGAGCGAGCGGCGGACGGGUGAGGAAUGUAUGGGGACUGCCCGAUAGAGGGGGAUAACUACUGGAAACGGUAGCUAAUACCGCAUACUAUCGGAUAACCCAUAUGGGAUUAGCUAGUUGGUGGGGUAAAGGCUCACCAAGGCGACGAUCCGUAGCUGGUUUGAGAGGAAGACCAGCCACACUGGGACUGAGACACGGCCCAGACUCCUACGGAGGCAGCAGUGGGGAAUUUUGGACAAUGGGGGAAACCCUGAUCCAGCCAUCCCGAGUGUAUGAAGAAGGCCUUCGGGUUGUAAAGUACUUUUUGCAGAGAGGCGGUAUCUGCAGAAUAAGCACCGGCUAACUACGUGCCAGCAGCCGCGGUAAUAC